GUAGAAAUGGCUCAGUGGUUAAGAGCACUGGCUGCUCUUCCAGAGGUCCUGAGUUCAAUUCCCAGCACCUACA
rnacentral:tRNA from 1 species